UGGAAGGAGCGAUAUUGGUGAGGUUCAAUCCGAUGCUAGAUUUUACAUCAGUGUUAAGAUCUGUAUCUGAUUGAGCCGUGCCAAUAUCUCUCUUCUUCUA
rfam:Brachypodium distachyon strain Bd21 chromosome 1, whole genome shotgun sequence.